CCGGCGGGAGCCUGCAUGCCCGCGUCAAACGCACCAGCGAGUUAUGAGAACGGGCUAACAAGGUUGGGAGUUGGUUAAGAGAAAGCGAUGUGUAUUAUGUAUCGGCCCGCCACAACCACGAUCCAUAUUUGCCCGCACAGCGCUCACGUGCACUCACCACCCUUGACCGCCUUGAGGAUACAUGGCCCGGCGCUGUUUUGUUCAUUGUUCCAUCGCCGCCGCUGCCACCGCUCCCAAGACCGCCCCCAUCAGAAAUGGCAUGGCGGAGCUGACAUCCUUCGAAACGAGUAUGUUAGAUGCGCAUAGAAAAUGAUUCGAUGGUGAAGCAGAUGAAACCCGAAUAUCGGUGCGGAUCAGCUUCGGGAACCGGAGGAUGCAUUGCAUCUCUGGAAGCCACACGAAAGUGUUUCCUGCGGACCAUUUGCAACAAGUACCGGUCCCAGAAACUUUCUGGGACUUUAAGUGCAAUGCGCGGAAGCUGGGUAAAACAAUCUAGGUAAUAGAGUGUUUCCAAUUAGCGACCCGUUAUUUCUACUAGAGUUAACUUAGAGGAGACGUUAGCGGUCGUGGUGUUUCGGAAUGGUCUCCGAAACCAAGACAUGGUGCCAAAGCAAAAUCUCAUGGUGCGAUGCGAUGACAGGAUUCGAUAUGAUGGUCAAGCAUAAUGCAUGAUAUGAUUGUCGCUGGCGAGCUGAGCGUCACGCCAGCCAUGUAGGCAGCAAUCCCCGGAAGCGCGACGGCAGACGGACGUGCAAUCCGAACGGUGUAGGCGGCUUGGACAACAUUGAUAUUCUUUGGCCGGUAUAGGCAGGCGUCGGAGGUGAAGGUCGCAAGAUUGUCAACGUCUAGCCGCCAUUUGCAAGCAGUUACAGUAAGGAAUAAAAGAAUAAUGCAAGCCCUGUGGAUGCAUUUACCUACCUGCGUAUUGCACCCUCGUAUUUUUUGAUACGCAGCUGCAUCGGCUGCUGUCCCGCCACUGGGUGCCGGCUUUGGUGAGUUCGACCUCAUUUAUGCAUUACUUCUUGGAGCUGAAUGCUUGUGUCCUUAUUUCCUUAGAAUAUGUAGUGAAGCACUAUCAGACUUCGCAGUGUUGUGCCUCUGGGCUGAUUCCUUUAUAAUACAAGUUACAAGUUACAAGUUCCGCACACAAGUGCGGGUGCAUCCGUAAAAGCCGGGGGGGCCAUGGACGUUGUAUUGGUAUUGAUGCGGGUACGCGGGAGGUCAUCUUCAUUCUCCCUCGUCCGCUUCAGGGCGAAGCGCCUCAGCGCGACGUGCCUGGCCUCCCAAAUUUCCGAGAGGUACCUGGCCAAUGCCAGGGGUGGCGCCUCAGUCAUAGUGGUGCGCGUGCUGCGCCCCGUAAGGACUAGGUCACCAUCGGGACAUUCUUCGAAAACAUGCAACUCAUCUUCAACCGUUCCACAGUCACAAAGCCUGCAGGUAUGCACGGUGCGCUCACGCCCAUUAGGCCUAUUAACCUCUAACUCCCAACAGCCUAACCGAAAACGCAUGAGCACAUGAUGAAGUCGCUGGGGCAUGGUCCCUUUAGUGUGCUCCAACCAAUUGAGACGUGCACCCCUUGACAGGGCAGCUCCCAUCCAGUUCAUAUAGCGACACGCCUUGGCUCUGGUAACUCCUAUGGGGAAGGCGCGGGGGUCACCCAAGGUAUUUGGGCACUCCCACCGUGCAUCAAGCCGCUUGGCAAAUACCUUAAGAAUGCUCUCAACUGGCAAUUUAAGGGUGGUGUAGUACGAUAUAAGAUCAUUACCGUGCGUAUUAGUGGGGGGUUCCACUCCUAAGCUAGUAAGAAAGGCUAGUACCUUGCUUGCCCAACACUCAGUGACGCCCCCAAGUGCCAACUCCAGGUCAGCAACAAAUGCCUGGUGACACAGCGUUCCCGGCCUCUUAACCACAGAGUUCCAAAACCUAAGUACAAGAUUGGCCCAAUGGAACUGGAGUGGCCUCUGUGACAGCUCGCGAUAUAGGGAUAACUUAAGGAAAACCCUGGAAAUUAGUUCCGACACAUACAGGUGCUGCCUCUCUUUGGGUGAUGCUAUAUGUCUGCAUAAUAAUUACUCUGGAUUUGGAUAGGAGAGGGUGGUAAUGUGUUACUGUAACGACGCAAAUGCCAAUCUGAGCAUCCCGGGUUACGCCUUUGCUGUGUUACAAUGGUAUCGAGACGGGACCGCACGAAUACCGAAAUAAACUUCGGGUCGGCGGUUCGAUUCUGGCAACCAGCAAGUCGCAAAUUGGCGAUUUCAUGGUGUAAUGGAUAAACCAGCGCACUGGCGCGAGGUGGGAUGGCUCCUGUGCUCGAAAUAAUGGCCGAGGACGUCCAUUGCUAAGUGGGGGGCAAUGUAACGACGCAAAUGCCAAUCUGAGCAUCCCGGGUUACGCCUUUGCUGUGUUACAGUUACCAGGGGGAUAAACCCAGGCAGCUGUACCUGCAUGAAAUUGAAGAAAUUAGCAAGUUCUACAUGGUCGUCGGUCUAAAACACAGUGGUAAUAUGAAGUUCGAUUCUGAAGUCAGCAUAGUAUGGCAGCUUGUAUGUUAGUGCCUGAGAAGUCUGGGAAGCUUUCAUACUUGUCUAGGCUGUUUAGAGCCUCAUACCCAGGAUGUAUGUUAUUACAGGGUGGUAUAGCUUCACCAGCGGCCCCCUUUCCUGAGGCAGUUCCCUGCUCUCCCCUGCUUGAGGGGCACCCUGAUCCGUUCACCCCAUCUGACUUCAGAAGGUAUUCAGAAGGUAUUUGAUCAAUGGUGCCUCAACUUAGUUUCUGGUCAGCUCGCAAGCUGAUGCUAUCAUGUCCUACACCAUCCAUAAGAUGGGAGGCCACCUCCCAAUUCAACACCUCUCACACACUAGAGAGGUUGGCAGGCAGAUUUGAACCUGGACACUCCGGGAGCAGAAGUCAGGCCUUAACCUCUGCCAGCUGCCUGCCUGUAAGAAGAUGGGUGGCACAUGUUUCUGGCCCUGUUGGAUGUCUGGAACCCCCUCCAUUGACUGCACCUUUAGCUGUAUACCACAACUACAUCAUACAUAUGACCAUCUAGAUGGUCAUACUCUUCCACACCAGCAGCCACAUCCAAGCUGCUGCUUGACAACUUGAGAGAUAGAGAUGCAUGCCUGAACCGAAAACCCACUGAGACCUCCUUGUUCUGCAUGCUGAGGCAUGAUACCAGAUCCUGUGUGGUGUAGUAUAGCAAAAGUCUUGUUCAAAUGCCAACAAUACGUGAAGCACUCACUGCAGUCCACAGAGAGACCGAGGCCACAGUUGCUCCUAUACUUCAAGCUCUUCAAUGUAGAAGCUGAGGUGGGGGACACUGUUUGUCUUCUUUACAUGAAUGAUCUGCCAGCACACCUUGAUCUCCGGCAGCUUACCCAAAGUAGGCAUCACCAAAUGCUGCUGUGCCCACAUUGAGUUGGGUUGGCUGUGAGGCUGGUUGUCUUUUGGUAAUCUGAAGUCCUUACAUUGGUAUAUACCAAGGCAUAUGCCUGGGCAGGCAAGAAGUCUACCAGCUGAGUUAAAGCAAAGCCCUCCAUCUCAAAUGGGGACUGACAAAAUGUCUAAAUAACAAUAAAACUCACAAUCUUAUGGGAUCUCGAAUAACCGUGUUGACUCAAAGGGGGGAGGAAUGUGAUAAGGGUUCAGCUCCCUUGGUAUCUCCCUGAGUACUCUUUGCCUGGUGUUACAAUGUUUGAGUGUAAAUGUCUGGGGAACAUCAUCCAUCACAGCAAGACUUCUCUUGCAUGUUAUUGGCAACAGUACAGGCUAUGGGACAGAAACCCUCUCUUCUGCAGAAAACGUCUCUGACACCCCAAUUGACAGUGUCUGCAGGCAAGCAGUCACAGCCCGAUUUAGGAUUACCAAGAGACAACCAGCCUCACAGCCAACCCAACUUGAUGUGGGCACAGCAGCAUUUGGUGAUGACUGCCUUCAGGGUGGUAAGCUGUGAGAGAUUAAGUUGUGAUUGCAGGUCAUUCACAUCAAAAAGAUAAAAAGCGUCUCCUGCCUCAGCUUCUACAUUGAAGAGCUUGAAGUAUGGGAGCAACCGUGGCCUCGGUCUCUCUGCAGACUGCUGUGAGCGCUUCAUGUAUUUUUGGCAUUUGAACAAGACUUUUGCUAUACUACACCACACAGGAUCUGAUAACAUGCCUCAGCAUGCUAACUGAAGGCUUCAGAGCAGAAUAUGAGCCUUGAAGGAGGUCUCAGUGAGUUUUUGGUCUAGGCAUGCAUCUUUAUCUGUCAAGUUGUCAAGCAGCAGCUUGGAUGUGGUCUGAAGGAGGAGGGUAUGAUGUAGCUGUGGUAUACAGCAAAGGUGCCGUCAAUGGAGGGGGUUCCAGACAUCCUGGGUAUGAGGCUCUAAACAGCUGAGUGCCUUUCAGGAACGUCUGAAUCUGCUGUCUAGGAAAUAAAGAAAGCUUCCCAGGCUUCUCAGGCAUGAACAUACAAGCUGCCAUACUAGAUGCUGACUUCCGCAAAAUCAAACUUCAAAUUACCACUGUGUUUUAGAUCCUAUAUUUAAUUAUUGACCAGCAACCUCAUGCAGGUACAGCUGCCUGGGUUUAUCCCCCUGGUAACACAUUACCGCCCUCUCCUAUCCAAAUCCAGAGUAAUUAUUAUGCAGACAUAUAGCAUCACCCAAAGAGAGGCAGCACCUGUAUGUGUAGGAACUAAUUCCCAGGGUUUUCCCUAGGUUAUCAUUAUGAAGGAAUCUGCCCCCCACAAAUGUCAUGCAACCAAAAGCACAAACAUGAGGCAGGAUACAUAGCUAGGUAGGCGCUCCAAGUCUUCCUUGAGUGCAGGUAGAUAGGCAGGCCAGAGGAACAACACUGUAGCAGCUGGCCGCUGAAAAGGCCUCUCAAGAUGCUGGUGGUCGCGUUAUGCGCGUAUUUAUAGCACCGUACUGUGUACUGGCUGCUACAUCCCCCCCUUUUGAAGGGGUCCAUCCUGGGCUUCAUAUACCACCAGCCUGUGCCUACCUUCACCUAUCCUCGGGCAGUGGGGUGUUCAAGCCCACGUCACAUCAUGCUCCCCUUCAUGCGCCUAGCCUUCAGGUUUUUCAGGCACAGAGACAGUCCAGUCGGUUCAGCUACUUUUUAAUGGUUUUUGGUGCGAUAUUCGCUCACUGAGUCACCAAACCCGUUUUUCCACUCAAGCAUGAUUGGUGGGGGGUGAACCGACGACUUCAGGAUCGUGAAAUUUCACGAGGUCUCGAUACCAAAUGUAGCAGCUGGCCGCUGAAAAGGCCUCUCGAGAUGCUGGUAGUCGCGCUACGCGUGAAUUUAUAGCGCCAUACUGUGUACCGGCUGCUACAAACACUGUGAAGUCUGUUAGUGCUUCACUACCUUUUAUAAGUAAAUGAGGACACAAAGCAUUCAGCUCCAAGAAGUAAUGUAUCAAUGAGGUUGAACUCACCAAAGCUGGCAACUAGUGGCGGGACCAGGGUUCGACACUGACUUUCCUGAAACUUGCGGGAUCCCCCGUACCUCCCAAAUUUUCCUUACGGAGGGGCCCCCGUACCAGGCUCCUGUACUGGCCGAAAACCUUACGGGGGCCCCCGUAACCCCGCAAAACCUUUACGGGGACACUGUCCUUGGCUAAAACGCUGUGGAAAGUGACACUUUGCAUUUUUUUUGCCCUGUAAAUCGUUAUUUAUGUUAUUUUCCCGUGAACCAUUACACACGGGGGCACGGCACACUCAGCGAAAGCCAAGCGCCUUGGCCGCCGCGGCCGCCCAUCCCUUCUGCUACUCUUUCGCGUCCUCCUCCUCAUCAACAAAAUCCUCAUCCACGGACGACUCAUCGGUAUCUCGUUCUACGUCGGUCUCGUAGUCACUGUCACUAAAAGCCUCAUCGUCACUAGCGGGGUAUGUUGCUUGUACCAGUACUUCAAUCUCUGGGUCCGUCGCAACCUCCUCGUUAUCAUCCUCUCCGUAUGGAUUCAAAUUAAUUAUGCUAACGUCAGAAAACAACUUGUGAAUAAUGCCUGUAUAACCCUUACGCGAGUAGAUCCCAGCAGCCUGAUCAAUCAGUGGCUUCGCCCCGGUAUCAGCAGCAGGUCCCAACAUGCCCACACGAAGUAGCGAAUCAACCGUUUCCAGCUUUAGCCGGUUCGUCAGGCGAUUCUUAAUAAUACGAUGCCGGCUAAAUCCGCGCUCAACACAUGCCGUCUGUGUUGGCAGGAUUGUAGCGACUUGAGCCAAACGCAUCAUACGCGGAAGGAGAUGGGCUUCGGGACGCAAACUCACCCACGCUGCCUCCCAAGUCACCCUGCUAAGCGAAAUGUAGUAAGCAAGACGUGCCUUCAUGACAUUGAACUCCUUUAAAACGUUCGGCAACUCAUCAGGCUUAACCUCGAACAGGCGGUGUGAAUUCUUAGCAGAGCAGAAGUGCUGCUCAGCCUCCUGAGUGCAAGGCUCCGUAGAGCCAAGCUCCUCAGGAUCAUCAUUGGGGUUGCCUAUAACACAAAUCUUUCGGUCAACUUUCAGGCCUGCGGUUCUUGUCAAUCAGCUUCGAGUCCCUACCCUACCUUCUUUGCAAGGCUUAUCAUCUACUUUCUUUGUGGGAACAGGUUGGCUUGCAGGCUUUCCACCUGCGUUCGGACCGAAAAUGAGAUCGGCGAGGAGUGGCUAUAGACUGGAAGCUAUAAAAGUAUUAUGAAAAGUGUAGUUAAAUAUUGCAAUAUGAAUUAUGCCUGCCAAGUGUGUGGCUUUAUCCUUUAUAUGGUCCGUCCUCUCCCCUACAGGGCCCCGUAAGGCAUCUUAUAAAUCCUUAAAUUCCUUACGGGAGUCACCGUAACCGGCCUUCGGCCUGUUCGGGGGCGGCCCCGUACGGGGCGCUUCGCGCCCCAAAAUCUUUACGGGAGCCACCGCAAAGUCCUACGGACCCGUACGGGGAUACCGAAAAAAGGCCAAAAACUUACGGGCCCCGUACGGGGUGUCGAACACUGGGCGGGACAGCAGUCGAUGCAGCUGCAUGUCAAAAAAACGAGGGUGCAAUACACAGGUAGGUCAUUUGUCACGAAAUAGCAGGGGUGUGCGAUUUGUAAAGGAUCACAAAGCUUACUAAUGGUUCAGAAGACUACAACCAUGCAUGGUAUGCAGUGUAGCAAAGAAGUGUGUGGCAUUCUUGUCUAAAACCACUGCACAAGAAGCCAUGGACUUGGCUGUAUAGCAUGCACAAAGUCAGAAGGGCAUGCAGCUACCAGACUCGUUACAAACACAACAAUGCUCAUUGGAACAUAUGAACGGCCAAAAACUAAUGCAGGUCGGUAUAUCAGGAAGUGCAUGUGCAUCCUGGAAUCCCGACAUGUGGCGGGUGCAGGUAGAGGCAGGGCAGCUUGCAUGUCAUAGAAAUCUUCAUGCAGCAUUCUUAACACCCAAGCUAGCUUCACGUGCAGCUUUGCAAAGGCAACCUGCAAAACCUAAAUUUGGAACUCGCCACCAGUGCCUUGGCUUGCUAGCAAGGAAGGGUGUGUGUCCUGUCUACUCUCAACCACAAUGCCUAAGCACUGCAGCAGAAUGGAGGCACAAUGCUUGCAGGGCUUGACGAGACACCGUUUAGGAAGGGUCUCAAUUUAUCCUAACCUAAGUAACAAAGCUGCUAGGGUUGUCGUAAUUUAUUCCUUAAUUGUGAGGCGUUGGGGGGGCCUCCAGGCCCCUGUAGCAGCUGACCGCUGAAAAGGUCUCUCGAGUUGCUGGCAGUCGCACUCUGUGCGUAUUUAUAGCACAGUACUGUGUACCGGCUGCUACAGCCCCCCAGACCCACCCACCACCCCGAUAAGUUACAACUCCCCUAGACCAAGAGUCACACACUGAGUUGGCAUGGUUUGGAUGCAGCACACUUGGUCAUGCACUUCUCCGGCGUCCAUGUCAGCAUGCACAGGCCGAGCCCAGAUAUACUUGGUGGCCCAGGCUAUCUGCCAUCUGUGGGGGUUCUCUUUCUGCUUGGUCCUCCAUACACCAUCACUGAUGUUGCAGAUGUGCUGUGACUGCACAGUGAGUGCUCGGGUUGGGCACCUGGAAUGGAUCACCGGCCUCACCACAUUCACUGUUGUUGUUGUAGAGCUGGUUAGGUGACAGCUUGCACUUAUGCUGGUCACACCCGCCAUGGAGGGCAGGGGUAAUGGUGCCCAUGUCAUCGGUCGCUGCUGGCAGCAACACCAUUGCCAAUGCAUUACCGACAAGAGCACCACCAUUCUGAACACCUUUAUCAGGAAACUUUCCGGCUUAUCUUGCUGUUUUGAUGUCUGUUCACUGUUUGAGUCAUUGACUUGUGCAUAUUUGGCUAUGGUGGGAAUGAAAUUGUAUGGUCGGCCUCAAUUUAUUCCUUGUUCCAAAAGCCAAAAUGCCGAUGUCUUCCUUUUAAGUAAUUGCUUGAUAAAAAAACCUGUGAGACACUCCUAAUACCCUGUGCAGCCUGGGGCCGCCAGUCCCAUGCACAAAUUGUACAAGUGCACGCCUCCAGUGGCGGUUCACAAGGUCUGAACAGGAUAUGAGCCUAAGAUUGCUUAAAGUACUGGAUUGCAUACAACGGACCUUGAUGGCAGCCUUUAGCACCAGCUGCUGCCGAACAGUGAGGCCUGCUGCUUGUUCUGUGUUCAGCAGGCAGAAAGCACCACCAACCUCGGCAUCCACAUCCAAGCCUAACUCGGAUAGGGCAGCAACAAUUGGCGAAAUGGAACUGGUGUCCUCACCCCCCACAGAAAGCAGGGCUUGCCGAAUGGUCACCAUGCUUAGGUAGACCCGGACCCUGUGUGCUGCUAAAAUAUGCUUCAAUUGUGUUGGAGGCCACAAGGUCACAACCAAAACCCUUAAACCCAACGGUCAUCAUACCAAUGGUACACCUAAGAGCUACUCAUAAUCUUUCCAAUACCACCACUAUCAUGGGAUAACUACUUUUCCUAACCAGCUGAGUCACAAUCAAGCUUUGUUACAAUUUUGGCAUUGUAGACCAACCAGUCAAAAGGACCUCGGAGUCGAGUACUCCAUUGCUUCCGCACCACAUUUCAUAUUUCCAAAGAUUUUCAACCUGAAUUACAUGGCAAGCCUGGCACAGAACCCGAUGCACGCUCUGUCCAUGGAGACAGACCAUGAGUGCUUCCAGCUGCACCAGAUGAGCCCCACUAAGGUGAAGAGACUGCUAAAGAAGGUCCAGGAAAGAUAAGAUAAGUAUGUGAGGUGCACCCAGCAUAAGGGCAUCACACCACCAUCGCACCUGUUUAAAACCAUCAGACAGCUCUGCAAUGAGCAGGAUUAUUGCUCUGCACACUUGGCCUCCUAAUGAAAGCCAAUGAGGAACUCUCUAUGUGUGAGCAGAAAAGCCGCAAACUGCAGGAGCAGAUGGCUGCAGCUGCGGUUGGCAAUUGUUGUUAUUGUUGUUGUUGUUGCAAUAACAGCAAUGGGGGCGGUGGUGGCAUUUCUGCCUGCAUCGAUGGUGUUGGCAUCAUCCACAGCAGCAGCUAGGUGCUCCUGCAGUACGCAGCUUUUCCGCAUAGAGAGUUCCUCAUUGGCUUCCAUUAGGAGGCUGAGUGUGCAGAGUGAUAAUCCUGCUCAUCACAGAGCUGUCUGAUGGUUUCAAACAGAUGCAACGGUGGUGUGAUGCCCUUAUGCUGGGUGCACCUCAUCUACUUAUCAUAUCUUUCCUGGACGACCUUUAACAGUCUCUUUGCCCUAGUGGGGCUCACCUGUUGCAGCUGGUAGCGCUCAUGGCCCAUCUCCGUGGACUGAGCAUGCAUCGGGUUCUGUGCCGGACUCACCAUGUAAUUCAGGUAGAAAAUCUUUGGAAUUAUGAAAUGUGGUGCAGAAGCAAUAGAGUACUCGACUCCGAGGUCCUUUUGACCAGUUGGUCUACAAUGCCAAAAUUGUAACAAAGCUUGAUCAUUACACAGCUGGUUACAAAAAGUAGUUAUCCAACGAUAGUGGUGGUAUUGAUAAAUACCGUUUGGUAUUGGAAAUUAUGAAUAGCUCUUAGGUGUACCAUUGGUAUGAUGACCGUUGGGUUUAAGGGUUUUGGUUGCGAUCUUGUGGCCUCCAACACAAUUUAAGCAAAUUUAGCAGCACACAGGGUCCGGGUCUACCUAGGCAUGGUGACCAUUCGGCAAGCCCUGCUUUCUGUGGGGGGCGAGGACACCAGUUCCAUUUCGCCAAUUGUUGCUGCCCUAUCAGAGUUAGGCUUUCAUGUGGAUGCCGAGGUCGGUGACGCUUUCUGCCUGCUGUACAUGGAACAAACACUGUUCAGCAGCAGUUGGCGCUAAAGGCUGCCAUCCAAGGUUAGUUGUAUGCAAUCGGGUACUUAAGCAAUGUUAGGCUUGUAUCCUGUUCAGACGUUGUGAACCGCCACUGCAGGUGCGCACUUGUAUGAUUGACUGGCGGGCCCGGGCCGCAUAGGGUGUUAGGAGUGUCUCGUCAAGCCCUGCGAGCAUUGUGCCUCCAUUGUGCUGCGGUGCUUAGGCAUUGUGGUUGAGAGUAGACAGGAUGCACACCCUUUAUCGCUAGCAUACCGAGGUGCUGGUGGCGAGUUCCAAACUUGGGUUUUGCAGGUUGCCUUCGCGAAUUUGUGCGUGAAGCUAGCUUGGGUGUUAAGAAUGCUGCAUGAAGAUUGCUACUACAUGCAAGCCGCCCUGCCUCUACCUGCACCAACCACAUGUCAGAUUCCAGGAUGCACGUGCGCUUCCUGAUAUACUGACCUGCAUUAGUUUUUGGCCGUUAAUGUGGUGACAUUGUGCAAAUGUUAGCUGGCCAGAUAGAUACAAGGGCUGUGGCAAGCGUGCAUACCGAUUUAACCUUUUAUGUGUAAGCGUGCUAGAGAUGGAAAGGCUCUCACCUUUCAGUCCUGCCCUCCUAGGGUGCAUCCGGGGGGUGGGGCAGUAAGCUGAUUCGUACUGCAAAAAAAUCCAUUUUGUUUUCACUUGCAAAAUCGUCCGAGAAUUCAUUGCCUUUUGCUGAUAUUUCUCAAUGCAUGGGCGAUGUCGAGACACAUACACACAUGUGCAUGUGUGCAUAUUCAGUUCUCGCACCCCCACACAUUCAGCUAGCACCCGUACGAACACAGACAGCCCUAAGACCACUAUACCCACGAAGAUGAGGAGCUCAACAUCAACAGCUCAACAUCAACAGGCACGGACCACAGACAGAAGACACGUGUGCACGCAAGCUCCACAUCAUCCGCAUCAGCAUGUGACACAGACAGACAGACAGUUACACUCACACGUGCACAAAAGAGCACUUUUCACCUCCACGCCGGGACGAGAUGCGGGCCAAGCAGUACAAGUGACAUCACCCACAUCAUCACCAGCUGCAGCACACGGGUAAAACGCAGAGGCGGAAGGCCCACACUGUGUGCAACAUGCCUCUGCGAUGUAACACCCCCAACCACCUAACGGAUCAUACGUACACCCCCAACUAACCCUAUCAACUGCAACUGCAACGGGGAGGGAGGCGCAUGAAUGAAAGGCCUCCAGUUCCCCCUCUGUUGUCCAGUCCCGUCCUGUGGAGACACCUCACUGCUCACCUCAGCCAGGUAUGUGUUAUAGACCGUCCCCCUCAACGGUGCCGCUUUUGUUCCUGCCCACCCCUCUCCUCUCACCCUGCACCCCCCCUGUCACCCAUCACCGCUCGCCUGUCACCCCUUUCCUCUCACCCGUCCCCCACUCCCGCUGUCACCCCAAGCCCGACUUUCCCCUUUGUUCACUGGUCCCCAAGCUAAGCCGCCAGCUAAGCCUAACACACAGACCUGCAUGUUCUACUGUUGAGGCUAUGGUUAACCGUUUCCAUGGAGGGUCACAGCACCAUGUGUGUGUUACAUAUGCAAUAUCCAUGUGGGGCCUGAGGUUUGACAUGCACAUGAAGCUAGCUUGGGUUGUUAGGAAUGCCAAGACACAUGCUGUGAGUGUGGUGCCUCCAUUUUUGUGCUGCAGCACUCCCAGGCACCUUGGUGUUGUUGUGAAGCACAUAGUGGUUAACUACUCGUUGAAAUGACUGCUGCUGUCAGCAAGCAUUUGUCAGACUCCAUCCCCGUCCCACAUCAAUAUCAUGCGUGGUUUGCGUGGAACUGCUGACCUGCACGGUAUGUGUGUGUGUGUGUGUGUUACAUGGUUGGGGGUUGCGCGACCCCAUACCUGUAAAACUACCCAUACGAGCCGAAGGCCCAAGGGCAAUAUCUAUACCGCACAUCAGCCCAGACUAGCGUCCAAAGGGGGUAACUGAGGGGUAACUGCUCUCUGGGGACAUGGUACUUGCCCCUUCAUGCUCUGUUUGCCUCUAAAGCCCAGCAACAUAAACGAAACUGCAUUAGCUUACGAUGUUCUAAACAAGGAAUGAAAGCCACAUGAUGGCUGCGGCUCCCGAAAAGGGCAGCCCCAUCCAGUGCUUAUACUUCGCCAUUUGCACUCUCGGUUGCUUCCCAUCUGAUGGUAUGUGUCUUCCGCCUCACUUUGUGCAGGUGCUGCUGCUGGUGUGGACCUGCAGCGCUUGGGAGCUGGCGCUGGUGGUAAGUUUUCUUCUAUUUGCUGCUAUCGUAGCUACUGUUGCCACCAGCUCUCGGAGGCACAUUCAUUCCAUGACGGAAAGUCAUUCGGAUUCAGGCAAGGGUCCAGCUGCAGCAUGCUUUCUUACCCAGUAGCAUGUUGUGGCUCGUUCUUCAAUUGUGCAUUGGUCCAGCACGCUUUAUUGGCCAUACAUAAAUAGUUAGGGGACACAUGGCCAGUUUUGCAGGCAUGUGUUGCAUGACUGAUCUCAGUGUGAAUCCUGCUGAAUCCAGGAGCCCUUGUGCCCCCCCUACCCCCCCCCGUUCCAGUCAUCUCUGACAUUUUGACUCCGACCCUCUGACAUGACUGAACCCAGUGCUGGAGCGCAUCAGGCCACGGCGGCUUUCGAAGCCCAGUCAUGCGAUGAGGGCCGGGUUAGGGCUGAGCAGGCGCUGAGGGCUGAGCGGGCGGACGAAAUAUCUCGGGGGUAUUUCUUCGACAAGUUGUCGCGAACCAGGGUUUCGCCCCUGCGACCCUUACUAGCAACGCGUGAGCUGUAACUAACAAUGGCCGGGAGUUCUGGGACAACGACUGGAACAUACAGAGAGCCUUACAGCCUUGCAACCACACGCACUCUCAGCUCUCAGUCCCCGCACAUGCUACUACAUCCUCCCACUUGCCCCACUGAAUCCCAGCCAUCCCAGUCAUGGGCCCGUCUCUGUCAUGAACGUCAACGGCCACCACGCGCGCCCAAUGCACUGUAAUCCAGUCAUGGGCCCUCACCUCCCCCCACACCCCAGUCAUGUCAGUCAUGGCCCUUGUGCUCAGCUGCCUCAGUUACCUCGGUUGGUUUUUGCAACUCACGUGGCCCAGUGAGACACCGUGUGCUGGUGAGUCCUGUUUUCAGACCCUCUCGGGCCCAUAAAGGCUGCCGUGCUUUGACUCACCCAAGGGAGCCUAAAGUGAGUCAACGAGCGGAAAGACACCUGGAGAGAGUCUUACAUGCGUGCCUGCACCCUGAGAGUCAAUCAGAGCAACUCUUGAGCAACUCAAAGAGAGAGAUUGAGAACCGCUAUGAGAGCGCCCCCAGCAAACCCCAGCAAACCCCGGAAGCUAGCUGCUGGCCAGGCCCACAGAACCUGAGUGUCCUGAGGGCAUCGGGCGACAUGUUCCUUAUGCCGCCCCCUGCCGCCCGUUCCACCGAUGGAUUCUGCCAGAGUCAACUGAACCAAGUGAGGCAACUGAGGCAUCUGAGGCAACUCACCACGUACACAUACGCGCCGUGCUUGGGGGUCUGUAAGUGCCAGCGGUUGUCACUUUUUAUUGGGGGAAUCCGGAACAGUGUUUAUUUUUUUGGUAAUAUAUUACUUUUUUGGGAAUAAAUGGGGGUCUGAGCCUGGAAGAAAUGGAAUAAUUGGUCAGUUGGCCGUACUGGUUCAUUACUUCGGCCAUAAGUCGCCCCAAAUGCCUUCUGCACAGAUAAAGCUGAACAUCUGGAACUUAUACACUAUUUAUAUAUAAA
rnacentral:lncRNA from 1 species